UACGGAGGGUGCGAGCGUUGUCCGGAAUUAUUGGGCGUAAAGAGCUCGUAGGCGGUCUGUCGCGUCGGAUGUGAAAGCCCGGGGCUUAACUCCGGGUCUGCAUUCGAUACGGGCAGACUAGAGUGUGGUAGGGGAGAUCGGAAUUCCUGGUGUAGCGGUGAAAUGCGCAGAUAUCAGGAGGAACACCGGUGGCGAAGGCGGAUCUCUGGGCCAUUACUGACGCUGAGGAGCGAAAGCGUGGGGAGCGAACAGG
rnacentral:rRNA from 1 species